rnacentral:rRNA from 1 species
CUACGGGGGGCUCCAGUAAGGAAUAUUGGGCAAUGGACGCAAGUCUGACCCAGCCAUGCCGCGUGCAGGAUGACAGCCCUACGGGUUGUAAACUGCUUUUGUACGGGAAAAAACCCCCGGUCGAGCACCGGGGCUGAUGGUACCGUAAGAAUAAGCAUCGGCUAACUCCGUGCCAGCAGCCGCGGUAAUACGGAGGAUGCAAGCGUUAUCCGGAUUCAUUGGGUUUAAAGGGUGCGCAGGCGGAAUGAUAAGUCAGUGGUGAAAUCCUACGGCUCAACUGUAGAACUGCCAUUGAUACUGUUGUUCUUGAGUACAUUUGUAGUGGGCGGAAUGUGUCAUGUAGCGGUGAAAUGCUUAGAGAUGACACAGAACACCGAUCGCGAAGGCAGCUCACUAAACUGUAACUGACGCUCAGGCACGAAAGCGUGGGGAUCAAACAGGAUUAGAUACCCCAGUAGUC